rnacentral:rRNA from 1 species
CAGUCGCCGCGGUAAUACGUAGGUGGCAAGCGUUGUCCGGAAUUAUUGGGCGUAAAGGGCUCGCAGGCGGUUCUAUAAGACAGAUGUGAAAUCCCCGGGCUCAACCUGGGAACUGCAUUUGUGACUGUAGAGCUGGAGUGCGGCAGAGGGGGAUGGAAUUCCGCGUGUAGCAGUGAAAUGCGUAGAUAUGCGGAGGAACACCGAUGGCGAAGGCAAUCCACUGGGCCUGCACUGACGCUCAUGCACGAAAGCGUGGGGAGCAAACAGGAUUAGAUACCCCCGUAGUCCCUGUCUCUUAUAC